GUGCUCGCUUCGGCAGCGCAUAUACUGAAAUUGGAACGAUACAGAGAUUAGCGCGGCCCCUGCGCAACGGUGACACGCAAAUUCGUGAAGCGUUCCACGUUUAA
ensembl:snRNA U6 U6 spliceosomal RNA